GUAUGGUGCAAGCGUUAUCCGGAUUUACUGGGUGUAAAGGGAGCGUAGACGGCUGUGUAAGUCUGAAGUGAAAGCCCGGGGCUCAACCCCGGGACUGCUUGGAAACUAUGCAGCUAGAGUGUCGGAGAGGUAAAUGGAAUUCCCAGUGUAGCGGUGAAAUGCGUAGAUAUUGGGAGGAACACCAGUGGCGAAGGCGGCUUACUGGACGAUGACUGACGUUGAGGCUCGAAAGCGUGGGGAGCAAACAGGAUUAGAUACCCUGGUAGUCCACGCCGUAAACGAUGACUACCAGGUGUCGGGGAGCAAAGCUCUUCGGUGCCGCAGCAAACGCAAUAAGUAGUCCACCUGGGGAGUACGUUCGCAAGAAUG
rnacentral:rRNA from 1 species